AAUAUGUUCAUAGGUGGAGUCUAGGCACAAGGGAUGGGCAAGGAGCACAGCAUGUUAGCAGGGAUGGCAGCCCAAAUGUGCCAGUCACACAAGCUAUCUGAUCUCAUCUGAAAGAAGGGAGACAGAUGUCUGACAACAGGUUUUAUCUGAAGAGGGCUGUGCUAUGACCACAGAGGAUGGUGUGUGUGCUCCAGCACCCUAGCUAAUCUUCCCUUGUGGAGUACCUGUGCUUUUGCUUUGGCUGCUGCAGUGUAAUUCUAUACCUAUCUGUGUGGAUGCAUUCUGAAAAAAUCCAAAGGAAGGAGUGAAAGUUGAAAUGCAGCGAGAGAGGUUUACUUUCACUGUAGUGCAUCAGCCUGUGUCUCAGCUACUAUGAAUCCCUCCACACCUCACUAACCUUCUGAGAGGGAGAGAGAGAUCCUUAUUACUGCUGUGAAUGCAACACGUUGCCUCAAAACUGUCUGUAGAGCUGCUGGCCCAAAGUCAUUCCUCUAACUCAGGGGCUUACUGAUUUGUGAGUAUACAUGCACCUAUUUUU